GACGAACGCUGGCGGCGUGCUUAACACAUGCAAGUCGUACGGUAAGGCCCUUUCGGGGGUCCACGAGUGGCGCACGGGUGAGUAACACGUGAGUAACCUGCCCACAACUUUGGGAUAACGCUAGGAAACUGGUGCUAAUACUGGAUAUGUCUCCUGCUGCAUGGUGGGGGUUGGAAAGCUCCGGCGGUUGUGGAUGGACUCGCGGCCUAUCAGCUUGUUGGUGGGGUAGUGGCCUACCAAGGCGGCGACGGGUAGCCGGCCUGAGAGGGUGACCGGCCACAUUGGGACUGAGAGACGGCCCAGACGCCGACGGGAGGCAGCAGUGGGGAAUAUUGCACAAGGGGCGCAAGCCGGAUGCAGCAACGCCGCGUGCGGGAUGACGGCCUUCGGGUUGUAAACCGCUUUCAGCAGGGACGAAGCUUUUUGUGACGGUACCUGCAGAAGAAGCACCGGCUAACUACGUG
rnacentral:rRNA from 1 species